UCUUCCAACACUUACCAGGAAGAGACUGACUUAUUAUUUCUCUUUUCUGUCAUACUGACUCUCUUCUCUCUUGACAAAAGCAAUAAAGAAUCAUUGAUCAGUGGAGAACGAAGAGAAACACUUUCAAGAAGGAUUUUUGAGACAUUUGUUUCUGAACAGAUCGUUGUGAUUCUCAAGGUGAUUCAUUUUUAAAACCGUCGUUCAGAAAGUGAAAGUAAAGUUUAUAUUGCUGGAGCUCAAACAAAAUGGCUUCACUAAAUGAUUCUGCUGAAGAACUUUCUUGUCCCGUGUGCUGUGAAAUCUUCAAGACUCCUGUUUUUUUAUCAUGUAGUCACAGUGUCUGUAAAGAGUGUCUUCAACAGUUCUGGAGAACCAAGAAAACUCAGGAGUGUCCUGUCUGCAGGAGAAGAUCCUCAAGUGAAUGUCCUCCAGUUAAUCUUGUGUUAAAAAACUUGUGUGAGUUGGUCCUGAGGGAGAGAAAUGAGACGAGUUCAUCAGGAUCUGAGGAGAUCUGCAGUUUACACAGUGAGAAACUCAAACUCUUCUGUCUGGAGGACAAACAGCCUGCGUGUUUAGUGUGCAGAGAUUCACAGAAACACGUCAGUCACACAUUCAGACCCAUCUGUGAAGUUGUUUCAUCAUAUAAGGAGGAGCUCAAUACAGCACUGAAGUCCUUACAAGAGAAACUUCAACACAAUGAAGAAAUGAAAGGAGAGUUUGAGAAAACAGUUCAACACAUCGAGUCUCAAGCUGAGCACACAGAGCGUCAGAUUAAACAGCAGUUUGAGAAGCUUCAUCAGUUUCUCAGAGAUGAAGAAGAAGCUACAAUCACUGCACUGAGGGAGGAAGAGGAGCAGAAGAAGCAGAUGAUGAAGGAGAAGCUGGAGGAGAUGAACAGACACAUCUCAGCUCUUUCACACACAAUCAAAGACACGGAGGAGAUGAUGAAAGCCAAUGACGUCUGCUUUCUGAAGGAGUUUCCCGUCUCAAAGGAAAGAGUCCAGAGCUCACAGCCGGAUCCACAGAUGGCUUCUGGAGCUUUGAUUCAUGUGCCGCGUUACUUGGGCAACCUGCUGUUCAGAGUCUGGAAGAAGAUGCAGGACAUCGUCCAAAACACUCCUGUGAUUCUGGAUCCAAACACUGUGAGUCCAUAUCUCGUCCUGUCUGAUGAUCUGACCAGUGUAAGAAACAGCGGGAUCAAACAACCUCUUCCUGAUAAUCCAGAGAGAUUUGACUGUGAUCCCUGUGUUCUGGGUUCAGAGGGGUUUAACUCAGGAACACACUGCUGGGAUGUGGAGGUUAAAGAGAGUUCAGGCUGGAUUCUUGGAGUAACUACAGCAUCAAACCAGAGGAAGGGAGUUGUUUUCUUCAACACUGAUGUCUGGUGUGUGUCGAACGGUUGGGCUCCAUGUUCUGGUUUUCGUGUCAAACAGAAGCUUGAUCGUGUGAGAGUGAAUCUGGACUAUGACAGAGGAACGGUGUCAUUCUCUGAUCCUGUAACUAACACACAUCUACACACACUCACAACCACCUUCACUCACACACUCUUUCCAUUCUUCUGGUGUCAUGAUGGAUCUCUGAGGAUCAAUAGUCAGUAAUCGUUACUCCUGUAGGUCUGGAUCUUCCUGCUUUCAUCAUGUUUCCAAUAUUUAAUCCAGAUCACAUGAUAAGAGUGCUGUUGAUCUGAAUAUCAGUACGGUGGCUGUGAUUGGGCCGUGAUGAUCACAUGACUGAUAUCAGCACUACAGCAACACUCACACUCUCAUAUUUCAUAAAACAGAUCAAUAAACAACAAGUUUAUUUAAUUAGAGUUUAGAAGAAGUUUAAAAAGCACUUUACACAAGAAGAUCAAUUUUUUUAGACCAUUGUAGGAUAAUGACCUGAUUAUUUUCAGUAAAGUUCGUCAAUUUGCUCAUUUUCACAUAUUUUUUUUUUCUAGAAACAGAACCUAAUUCUACACAGUUUCAGUGAAUUUGUAAAUGAAUAAUUGUUUAUUUCAGUUUAAAUGAUCAUGUGUUCACUAAAAUACAUGUAAAUGAUGAACUCUUAGAAACUCUUGAUUAGCAGCAUUUAUGGAUCUAAUUUUAAAAAACAAAAAGUCAAAGUUUCUGUGAUUCACUGACAAAGACUGAGUUUCAGAACAGAAUUUGAUGAUCUCUAGUUUUAAAAGUUUUGAACUACAGCAUCAUUCAGACACACAGACAUUGAGAAUCUCAACAAUGACGAUCAAAAGCUUCAUGCCGCAGUGCAUGCUGGGAGUUUUGUGUGCUGGCACCCAGCAUGCAUUGCAGCAUUAAGUUUUUGAUUGUCACCAUUUCUGAUGUGUGAAUGAUGCAGAACCUCUGAAUGUGUUAUGUGAUGAUGAAUCAUCAUGAUCGUCUGAUUGGCUGAUCUCAUUCUGUCUAUAAAUCACAGAGUCUUUCUUUGGUGUCAAAUCGUUCCUAUCAGAUCACAUCUAACAAUCAUUACAGGCAGUAAGUUAGUUUCACGUCAUAUACUUACUGCUUACAACAUUGUGUGGAGCUGCUUGACAUUCUUCUUUAGGCAGAUGUUUAUUAAGAUUAAAAGUGGUUUAUUUUGUUUAAAAUCUUAUGAAUGUAUGAGGUGGUGAGAGGGUCUUUUACCCCACAGACACUAAACCAGCAUGAGGAAAAAGACACACAGUAAUGAUACAAACACUUUAGCUAAAAUAAUGUUUUUAAUAAUGUCUAAGUUAAUACUUGUUUAAAACAGUCACUUUAGCAAAGUUUGUACUAUUUUCUGUGUUUAUUUUGAUAAAUAAAAGAAUUCAUUUUUGUUCAAUAAAUAUACUGUUAUAAAAAUAUGUUCAUUUUAAAAAUACAGAAACAAAAUUAUUUAAAAAACGUAAAGAUUGUGAAAGUAUUGAAGAAGAUCACAUAAUAAUUGAACCUCUGGUGCUCCUUAUUUGUGAAUCACACUCAUUGUCCUCACGGUCAAAAGUGACCGGACACCUGUAACGUAACCUUAUUUUUUCAGUAAAAUCAUUCCAAUUCAUUUUUGUUUAAUAAUAUUUUUUCUUUUUGCAUUUUGAGAGGGUUUUGUGGUAAUAUCCAUUAAUAUCCAUUUUCCCCAUAGAAAAUGUAUAUAUAUUUUCCAAUUUAUGCAGUAUUUCAGGUUAAAGGACUUUAACCAGUCUAAGCCUUUAAAAUCAGGCAGAUUAGCGCCAUCUGUUGAGAGUGUAGAAAGAAAACAUGUAAUAUCAUGGUGUGACCACUAGUUGCCUGUAUAGCUCUCUGAAGCAGCCUAGUUGUUUUUA